rnacentral:lncRNA from 1 species
GUUAGACUAGCCAAGCAGACACACUGUGGCCCUCGCCCCAUGGAGUGUAAGGACAGGGGUGUGCUGGGGCUCAAAAGCAGACUCCCAGUGAACCAGCAACAUCCGUGUCCACAAGGGCAUUGUAGGGUGACCAGCCUCAAAAAGGAGAAGAGAGACAGUUGGAGAAUUUGCAGGUCAGAACAACCAUCAAUUCUUCCAUUUCAAGUCUGCAGAAGUCUGGCAGGAGCGCAAGAGCUCAGAGCCACAAAGUCCCAGAGUUGGAAGAGACUGCAGGCUAUCCAUCCUUACCCCCCAUAGAUGCGAGUUACAACUGCAACACCAAGCCAACGGGCCAUGAAACCUCUCCGGGAACAGUGUGGAGAACCUGCAAGGAAGGCAAGAGAUGGAUAUGGGAAGACCAGCAGACUUUUCUCUGAUUGCUAUGAUGUCUCAUCGAUUACCAGCAGAUCAGCCAUACAGGAGUGGGAGUAGCAGCUAACAAUGACUGAGCACCUGACAGGCUCCAGGCUGAGUGCUCGGAAUAGACAGAAUCUUAUUGACACCCUUCAACAAUCCUAUGAAGCAGGCCCUGUUCUGAUCUCAUUACCUCUGCCCUUCCUGGUUCCUACUCCAUGAAAGAGCAUCGGAAGAUACCAACGUCAGAAAUGGCAAGUCCAGACACAGACCAAGUUCCGGGAUGCUUCUCCUGCUGCUCCUGUCAGCAUCUCCGCCACAGCCUCUUCCUGCUGCCCCAGGGACACGCCUGACUUUGAUGGACUGAAAGUAAUGCCCCAGCUUUACUGUGCCCUGGGCUGGGACUGCCACAGGGGCAAUGAGGUUUUCCUCCUGUGGUCGCCUUCCUGUUUACCUGACUGACUCAUGGGAGGUGACAGGCCAGCCUGGGGCUGGGAGUGGGGGCUGCCCCAGAUCUUACAGAAUGCCACGAGAGAGGAGCCUGCUCCUAAAUGGACUUAACUGGUCUGUUUUUUCAGAGCUCAGCAAUGUGGCCUGAUAAAGGACACAGUGAGGCCCCCAACAGGGCAGAAAGGAAAGGCAGGGAGAGAACCGUUUUUUGCCUAGAGCUCCAUCAUAUCGUAGAGAAAGAGUGCAUUCUCCUAGGGGAAUGCAAGGCACGCUCUGUCCUUGAGUUGCUAUUUCCCCAGAGAACAGGGGUGAGGCCAGACAAGCCAUGGAG